UACGUAGGGUGCAAGCGUUGUCCGGAAUUAUUGGGCGUAAAGAGCUCGUAGGCGGUCUGUCGCGUCGAAUGUGAAAACCCGGGGCUCAACCCCGGGCCUGCAUUCGAUACGGGCAGACUAGAGUUCGGUAGGGGAGUCUGGAAUUCCUGGUGUAGCGGUGAAAUGCGCAGAUAUCAGGAGGAACACCGGUGGCGAAGGCGGGACUCUGGGCCGAUACUGACGCUGGGGAGCGAAAGCGUGGGGAGCGAACAGG
rnacentral:rRNA from 1 species